rnacentral:rRNA from 1 species
UACGUAGGGUGCAAGCGUUAAUCGGAAUUACUGGGCGUAAAGGGCUCGUAGGCGGCCAACUAAGUCAGACGUGAAAUCCCUCGGCUUAACCGGGGAACUGCAUCUGAUACUGGAUGGCUUGAGUUCGGGAGAGGGAUGCGGAAUUCCAGGUGUAGCGGUGAAAUGCGUAGAUAUCUGGAGGAACACCGGUGGCGAAGGCGGCAUCCUGGGACCGGCACUGACGCUGAGGAGCGAAAGCCAGGGGAGCAAAGCGGGG